rnacentral:misc_RNA from 1 species
UGGCUCUGGCAUCGAUGAAGAACGCAGCGAAAUGCGAUAAGUAAUGUGAAUUGCAGAAUUUUGUGAAUCAUCGAAUCUUUGAACGCACAUUGCACUUUUUGGUAUUCCGAAAAGUAUGCUUGUUCGAGCGUCGUUUAAAUUGUAUUGAUUUAUUUUUUUUAAAUCAAUGUGUUGGAUGUUUUUGUGUAAAAACAAAUAUCCCAAAAGAAUUGAAAGCGAUCUGUAUGGUCUUACUAAAACGCAUUAAAUUUUUAUUCGUUUAUAAGUAGACAAUCAAAUCAGCCAAAAAACAAUAAACUUAUUAUUAAAAUCGACCUCGGAUCAAGCAAGAAUACCCGCUGA